GGCCUCAUAGCUCAGUGGUUAGAGCACUGGUCUUGUAAACCAGGGGUCGUGAGUUCAAUUCUCAUUGGCGCCU
rnacentral:tRNA from 1 species